UACGUAGGGUGCGAGCGUUGUCCGGAAUUACUGGGCGUAAAGAGCUCGUAGGUGGUUUGUCGCGUUGUCCGUGAAAACUCACAACUCAAUUGUGGGCGUGCGGGCGAUACGGGCAGACUGGAGUACUGCAGGGGAGACUGGAAUUCCUGGUGUAGCGGUGGAAUGCGCAGAUAUCAGGAGGAACACCGGUGGCGAAGGCGGGUCUCUGGGCAAGUGAAC
rnacentral:rRNA from 1 species